rnacentral:rRNA from 1 species
UACGGAGGGUGCAAGCGUUAUCCGGAUUCACUGGGUUUAAAGGGUGCGUAGGCGGGCAGGUAAGUCCGUGGUGAAAUCUCUGAGCUUAACUCAGAAACUGCCAUGGAUACUAUUUGUCUUGAAUAUUGUGGAGGUAAGCGGAAUAUGUCAUGUAGCGGUGAAAUGCUUAGAUAUGACAUAGAACACCAAUUGCGAAGGCAGCUUACUACCCGAAUAUUGACACUGAGGCACGAAAGCGUGGGGAUCAAACAGG